AUCCAGCUGAUGAGUCUCAAGUAGAACGAAACACGCGUCCUGGAU
rfam:Schistosoma rodhaini strain Burundi genome assembly, scaffold: SROB_scaffold0000207